AACGAACGCUGGCGGCAUGCCUAACACAUGCAAGUCGAACGGAACCGCCGGGCCUAUUUGCGCUCGGGGGCGUACCGACUGGGAAGCUGCACUUAGGUUCCGUGUCCCUCCCCGUGGGGGGUCCUAAUACCAGUGAAGGUAUUACCGCCAAAGAUCUAUCGCUGUUGGAUGGGCCCUGGUUGGAUUAGCCAGUUGGUAGGGUAAAAGCCUACCAAGGCCACGAUCCAUAGCUGGUCUGAGAGGAUGAUUAGCCACACUGGGACUGAGACACGGGCCAGACUCCUACGGGAGGCAGCGGUGGGUAAUAUUGGACAAUGGGCGAAAGCCUGAUCCAGCAAUGCCGGGGGAGUGAUGAAGGCCUUAGGGUUGUAAAGCUCUUUUACCCGGGAUGAUAAUGACAGUACCGGGAGAAUAAGCUCCGGCUAACUCCGUG
rnacentral:rRNA from 1 species